rnacentral:rRNA from 1 species
UACGGGGGGAGCAAGCGUUGUUCGGAAUUACUGGGCGUAAGCGCACGUAGGCGGCUUUCUAAGUCAGGGGUGAAAUCCUGGAGCUCAACUCCAGAACUGCCUUUGAUACUGGAGAGCUUGAGUCCGGAAGAGGUGAGUGGAACUCCGAGUGUAGAGGUGAAAUUCGUAGAUAUUCGGAAGAACACCAGUGGCGAAGGCGGCUCACUGGUCCGGUACUGACGCUGAGGGUGCGAAAGCGUGGGGAGCAAACAGG